GACGUAGGAUGCAAGCGUUGUCCGGAAUUAUUGGGCCUAAAGCAUCCGUAGCCGGUCCUGCAAGUCUUCCGUUAAAUCCAGCUGCUCAACAGAUGGGCUGCGGGGGAUACUACAGGGCUAGGAGGCGGGAGAGGCAAGCGGUACUUUAUGGGUAGGGGUAAAAUCCGUUGAUCCAUAGAAGACCACCAGUGGCGAAGGCGGCUUGCCAGAACGCGCUCGACGGUGAGGGAUGAAAGCUGGGGGAGCAAACCGG
rnacentral:rRNA from 1 species